UUCCGUAGGUGAACCUGCGGAAGGAUCAUUAACACGAAUCCAUAUUCAACACCCCCAACUUACUGUGGGCCGCGAUGAGUUCGCUCUGACCGUCCCGUAGGCGUUAGCUCUGGCAGGUUAACUCCUGUCGCUGGCUCUCGCCACUGUUAACCCGUUUCAUCCAUUCUAUGAAAUGAUAUUCAACCAUUAUUUCACAAUUUUUAGCGAUGGAUGCCUCGGCUCGAGAAACGAUGAAGGACGCAGCAAAAUGCGAUAAGCACUGUGAAUGGCAGAAACCGUGAAUCAAUAGAAUGCUGAACGCAUCCUGCACUUUUUGGUUAUUCCUCAAAGUAUGUCUUCUUCAGGGCAUUAGUACUAUUAUGCAAUCAAGCACUUGAUCCCCUGCGGUCUCCUUGCUUGGUAGGCGUUGUUGUGCGUUAGCGACCGUUUCCCCUGUGAAACCGUUGACGCAUCAAAUUCAGUAGUUGUUCCCAACUAGUUAAGCUUUCGCUUAGUGAUAGUUUUACUCUCUCUAGCGAAGACUUCUCUGCUUGGGGCUUUCGCAACACGCUCGUAGCGCUACUGAAACGAUUUGUUUCUCCCUGUUCAUGCAUGAAGUGAGACAAGGCUACCCGCUGAAUUUAAGCAUAUCAACC
rnacentral:rRNA from 1 species